AUUAGCAACCGGAGGCUUCUAAACAAUUUACUUUCCCUCCGGGUCUUCUGCGGUCCAGCCACUCUCGGUGAUCCUAGACUUGGCUAGGCUCCAUCUGGCCUCUCUCCAUUAGGCCGUCAACUCCCACCUGCGGCUAUGGCAGAGUUGGGCCUAAAUGAGCACCAUCAAAACGAAGUUAUUAAUUACAUGCGAUUUGCUCGUUCAAAGAGAGGUUUGAGGCUUAAAACAGUAGAUUCCUGCUUCCAAGACCUCAAGGAGAGCAGGCUGGUGGAGGAGACCUUCACCAUAGAUGAAGUCUCUGAAGUCCUGAGUGGUUUGCAGGCUGUGGUUCACAGUGAGGUGGAGUCGGAGCUCAUCAAUACUGCCCACACCAAUGUGUUGCUUCUGCGGCAGCUAUUUGCACAAGCUGAGAAGUGGUACCUUAAGCUGCAGACAGAUAUCUCUGAACUUGAAAACAGAGAAUUAUUAGAACAAGUUGCAGAAUUUGAAAAAGCAGAAUUUAUAUCUUCAAAUAAAAAGCCUAUCAAGGAGAGCAUAAAGGCAAAACUUGUUCCACUUAAUGAAGGUGGAACAACAGAACUCCUAAACAAGGAAAUUUUAAGACUUCAAGAAGAGAAUGAGAAAUUGAAGUCAAGGUUGAAGACCAUUGAAAUACAGGCUACAAAUGCAUUGGAUGAGAAGUCAAAACUAGAAAGAACACUGCAAGAUUUACAGCUUGAUCAAGGAAAUCAAAAGGACUUGAUAAAGGCCCAAGACUUAAGUGACUUGGAAAACACAGUUGCUGCUUUAAAGAGUGAGUUUCAGAAGACACUUAAUGACAAGACGGAAAACCAGAAGUCACUGGAGGAAAAUCUAGCAACAGCCAAGCACGAUCUGCUCAGGGUUCAGGAGCAGCUGAGAAUGGCUGAAAAGGAAUUAGAGAAGAAAUUUCAACAAACAGCAGCCUAUCGAAACAUGAAAGAGAUUCUUACCAAGAAGAAUGACCAAAUCAAAGACCUGAGGAAAAGACUGGCAAAGUAAAGCAUGCUGAUCCUGCCGUGUGUUUUAUCUCCCUGGGUUGGCUUUUGUUCCGUACUACACUUAAGCUGUGUCCGGAGUGGUCAGGCUGAUAUGAACCUGAAGAUUAAAAUCUGAAGAUGUCAUCUGGAAGCUGCCACAACAUGAACAUACAAACUCUCUCUCCUCAGGCAUGUAUUUCAAAACAUUUUGUCAUACUCCCUCUCCUAUUUUUCUAAUAUGUAGACUUUGCUUCUAAUAUUUAGAACUAGAGUUUUUAUUUUCAGUUGUCUUAAUUGAGAAUAGAGAAAACCUGGUGAUUCUGGCCAGUAGUCCUACACGCCUGUCUGCCAAGUUCUCCAGAGUCCUAGUUUGCAAUAAAGAAGAGAUUUUUAGAGUGGGAAGAAGAGUCUUAUCCUUUUGCAUUAGUAUAAAGAAUAUAUCUUUUUAGAAAUGUUAAAGAAGCU